GUGUUCCACGCUGUCGGUUCGCCGCCUGUCGGUGUUAACUGGCAUGUUCUGUGGAACGUCCUGCCGGUGGCGGUCCGGGCUCUCGUUCUGCGUAAGGGUCUCCCGAAGCAGGGCGAAAAGUUCCGGCCGCCGGUUCAAUCCCGCCACGGUGCUCUUCACCGAGUGUCGAGGUGGGCCGGCACUUUUACUUUGAACAAAUUAGAGUGCUUAAAGCAGGCGGUUUCCGCCUGAAUACUGUGUGCAUGGAAUAAUGGAAUAGGACCUCGGUUCUAUUUUGUUGGUUUUCAGAACCCGAGGUAAUGAUUAAUAGGGACAGGCGGGGGCAUUCGUAUUGCGACGUUAGAGGUGAAAUUCUUGGAUCGUCGCAAGACGAACCUAAGCGAAAGCAUUUGCCAAGUAUGUUCUCGUUAAUCAAGAACGAAAGUUAGAGGUUCGAAGGCGAUCAGAUACCGCCCUAGUUCUAACCAUAAACGAUGCCAGCCAGCGAUCCGCCGAAGUUCCUCCGAUGACUCGGCGGGCAGCUUCCGGGAAACCAAAGCUUUUGGGUUCCGGGGGAAGUAUGGUUGCAAAGCUGAAACUUAAAGGAAUUGACGGAAGGGCACCACCAGGAGUGGAGCCUGCGGCUUAAUUUGACUCAACACGGGAAACCUCACCAGGCCCGGACACCGGAAGGAUUGACAGAUUGAGAGCUCUUUCUUGAUUCGGUGGGUGGUGGUGCAUGGCCGUUCUUAGUUGGUGGAGCGAUUUGUCUGGUUAAUUCCGAUAACGAACGAGACUCUAGCCUGUUAACUAGGCGAUUUCCGGUACCCAUAAUAGUGUUACCGGCGAUUCAAUUUCUUCUUAGAGGGACAGGCGGCUUCUAGCCGCACGAGACUGAGCAAUAACAGGUCUGUAAUGCCCUUAGAUGUUCUGGGCCGCACGCGCGCUACACUGAAGGAAUCAGCGUGUCUUCCCUGGCCGACAGGCCCGGGUAACCCGUUGAACCUCCUUCGUGCUAGGGAUUGGGGCUUGCAAUUGUUCCCCAUGAACGAGGAAUUCCCAGUAAGCGCGAGUCAUAAGCUCGCGUUGAUUACGUCCCUGCCCUUUGUACACACCGCCCGUCGCUACUACCGAUUGAAUGAUUUAGUGAGGUCUUCGGACUGGUGCGCGGCUGUCGGGUCUCCGGCAGCCGAUGUUGCCGGGAAGAUGACCAAACUUGAUCAUUUAGAGGAAGUAAAAGU
rnacentral:rRNA from 1 species